GGAUCCAAGAACUGGAGAGUGGUUGGAACGAUGGAGGAAGCAAGCUACUCUUGAAAGAGCCUUCGUGCCAAUGUAGUUUUGUCAGAUACAUUUCAUCUGAGAAAUGGAAGGACGUCACAGAUGUUGAUGAUCAUCUUGAUGAUAUCACCAAGGACUGGUUAAACCCUGGACUUUUCAACUGAAGACAACGGGUAUGCGAUGGUAGCUAAUUAGAGUUUUGCUUCCAUCUUCAGUUGAGAACAAAAACAAAAAAGUUCUCAAGAGACCAUUGAAAUUUUAAAUCUUAAACACGAGUUUAUCAGUUGAAUGAUGUCUUUUGGGGCUUCUUCUUGUGAUCCAGUUUUUUUCUAUUUGGUUCCACUUUUGUUAUAUAAUUGGAAACUUGGAAUGAAAGCCUCUGCUUUGUUAGCUGUUGUACUUUUUUUUGGGGGUCAAAUUUAGCUGUUAUACUUAGUUAAUUGUAAAAGAACAUGAAAUCAAU